rnacentral:lncRNA from 1 species
UAAGUAACUAAAUAUGAGCUAACGUCUCCUCACUUCAUGCUGUCCCUUGGCUUAAAAAGAUUUAGUACAUGAUCAAGAAUACCUUAGCAAAAAGCUUCUAGUUUGUGUUUUCCCUCUGUGAAUCUGUUUGCUUUGUGAGACAGCCUGGGUUUUGCAAACAAAACAUCACAGAGAGAUUUAUUUUUAUAAGUUAGUUAUUUGUUGGUUAGGAUGAAUAUUGUAUUCUUCCUAAGCAAAUGGCUGAUUUGCUGGGUGUUGGUUAGGAAGGGGAAGAACAAGUAGGAAUAAUUUGAGAAGGAUCCAAAUGUGAAACUGAUUUUGCCUGGAAACAGUGUUUGUUUCCAUCAGGAUUUUCUGUUUUUGUUUCCAAGCUAUGAGAGUCCACGUAUGGAUACACCAAAAAUUAGGUUUAACUUGAAUAGUCAGAAGGAGUUCUUGAAGUUGUUCUAAUUUGAUGCAUUUACAUGUGAAUCUGAUUUGAAGUAUAAUUUCUAGCUUUCGUUAAAAAAUUUAAAAUGAGAAUAAAAUUGAGUGAUUAGACUGUUAGGUAUCUUAAGCCUAAUGUCACUCAUUCUGUGGUCUAAUGAUGCUGCCUAGCAUUCUGGUGUUUAUAUCAUCCAGCCAAAGAGUUCCAAUUCUAUGCAACAGUGAGACACUAAUAUGUUAACCAAUGUUUCAGUAUUUUCUCUGAACAUCAUUUUAUCACAGGGAAAUUUCAAGUUGGAGUGCUUCCUUUGCUUACAUUCAUGUCCUGUUUUUGUUAUUUGUUGAAGGCAUGGGUUCUAAUAAGAUUGGUCUCUUUGGUUGGAGACUAUUUCUGGAUUCAUUCAGGCAUUCAAGAAGCAUUUAUUGAGUACCUACUGUUGACAGGCAUUAUGCUAGAUACUGAGGAUAGGAAGGUAAGACUGCCAUGGUCUCUGCCCUCACAGAGCUUACAGUCUCAAGUAGUCUUAGUAAAUCAGAUGUGGUUUUAAAUUGUUUUAGUUUCCUUAUUAGAAGAGUCUAUAUAUGGAGAGUGACCAGUGUCACUACUUCUAAAAUACUGUCCUAAACAAACAACCCAGAACAUUUUAUUUCAGCUGGUGAAUAGCUGUUCUAAGUCUGUUGUAUGUUAGACAUACUGUGAACUACCUCUUCACUUACUAUGGGGAAGUUUCCUUAAUAAAAGUGUGACAAUUAAAGCUUUGGUGUCA